CGGGGAGCGGCGCAGAAACAGAAACAGAGCGCGGGGACGAGACAGCGCAGCACUGCGGGCAGAGAGCGGCGUCAGAGCGGGGACAGCGGGGACGGGGGUGGGGGGCACGGCACAGCAUGGCACGGCACAGCAUGGCAUGCAAUGGCAUGGCAUGACACAGCAUGGCACGGCAUGGCACGGCAUGGCAUGCAAUGGCAUGGCAUGGCACAGCAUGGCACGGCAUGGCACGGCAUGGCACGGCAUGGCAUGCAACGGCAUGCAACAGCAUGGAACAGCAUGGCACGGUGUGGCACGGCAUGGCAUGGCACAGCAUGGCCAUGGCACGGCAUGGGAUGGCAUAGCAUAGCACAGCAUGGCACGGCAUAGCAUGGCACGGCAUGGCAUGGCACGGCAUGGCACGGCAUGGCACAGCACGGCAUGGCAUGCAACAGUAUGGCAUGGCACAGCAUGGCAUGGCAUAGCACCGCAUGGCACGGCACAGCAUGGCAUGGCAUGGCACAGCAUCGAAUAGCACAGCAUGGCAUGGCAUGGCAUGGCACAGCACGGCAUGGCAUGCAACAGUAUGGCACGGCAUGGCAUGGCAUGGCAUAGCACAGCACAGCAUGGCACGGCAUGGCAUGGCAUGGCAUGGCAUGGCACAGCACGGCAUGGCACAGCAUGGCAUGGCAUGGAAUAGCACAGCACAGCAUGGCACAGCACAGCACGGCACAGCAUGGCAUGGCACAGCAUGGCACAGCACAGUAUAGCACGGCACAGCGUGGCACAGCAUGGCACGGCACGGCACGGCAUGGCAUGCAACACGGGGCACAGCAGCACACGGCGUGGCACACACAGGACAGCGUGUGGCACCACAAAGGUGGCACAGGAUGGCACACAUGGCACAGAACAGGGCAUGGCAUGGCACACAUGGCACAGAACAGGGCAUGGCAUGGCAUACAUGGCACAGAGAACACGGCACAGAGUGACACAUGGCACACAGAGCACAUGGCACGCAUGGCACAGGAUGGCACACAUGGCACAGAACAGGGCAUGGCAUGGCACGCAUGGCACAGGAUGGCACACGUGGCACACACGGCACAGGACAGUGCAUGGCAUGGCACAUGUGGCACAGGAUGGCACACAUGGCACAGGACAGUGCAUGGCAUGGCACAUGUGGCACAGGAUGGCACAUGGCACAGAGAACAUGGCACAGAGUGACACGUCGCACACAGAGCACAUGGCACACAUGGCGCAGGACCGUGCAUGGCAUGGCACACGUGGCACAGGAUGGCACACACAGGACAGAGUGACACGUGGCACGCACAGCACAUGGCACCCAGGGCACGCGUGACCAAGGACGGCGCAGGGUGGGCACGCACCGCAGGGCUCCGUGUCGGGCCGAACGUGCCCAGCCGCUGCCGAACGGAGCCGGGGGGGCCCCGGGGGGGUGCAGGUCCUCGAUGGAUCGGCUCCAGCCCCGCAGCUUCUCCAGCGCCCCGUCCUCAGCGCCCUC
rnacentral:lncRNA from 1 species